GGAUUAGAUACCCUGGUAGUCCACACCGUAAACGUUGGGCGCUAGGUGUGGGACUCAUUCCACGAGUUCCGUGCCGCAGCUAACGCAUUAAGCGCCCCGCCUGGGGAGUACGGCCGCAAGGCUAAAACUCAAAGGAAUUGACGGGGGCCCGCACAAGCGGCGGAGCAUGCGGAUUAAUUCGAUGCAACGCGAAGAACCUUACCUAGGUUUGACAUAUACGAGAAGCCUCUGGAGACAGAGGUCUCUUUGGACACUUGUAUACAGGUGGUGCAUGGCUGUCGUCAGCUCGUGUCG
rnacentral:rRNA from 1 species